GGAGAUGUGUCAGAGUGGUCUAUCGUGCUUCCUUGGAAAGGAAGUGUUGGGUCAAACCAACCGCAGGUUCGAAUCCUGCCAUCUCCGCCA
rnacentral:tRNA from 1 species